UCGAAUCCUACCAGGGAGGGAGGGAAGAUGGGACAAAGGAGUCAAGGCUGUCGCCGGCAACGUGCACGCCUUCCUUGUUCCGUGGACCCCCCUUUCUAGUUUCCUUAUCCGCCUGUGCACCCUUUGUAGGCCCUCGAAAGAGGAUCUACGUUUUCUCUAUAUACGCUUUUUGCUACACAUGUCCAGAAUGUAUACAAACUUUUACAACUUUCAGCAAUGGAUCUCUUGGCUCUCGCAUCGAUGAAGAACGCAGCGAAUUGCGAUAAGUAAUGUGAAUUGCAGAUUUUCAGUGAAUCAUCGAAUCUUUGAACGCACCUUGCGCUCCUUGGUAUUCCGAGGAGCAUGCCUGUUUGAGUGUCAUCGAAUUCUCAACCAUGUCCUUGAAUUAGGCAUGGCUUGGACUUGGGGGUUGCUGGCACACUGUCAGCUCUCCUGAAAUGCAUUAGCGAUGGUCAGCAAGCCUGAACGUGCACGGCCUUUUCGACGUGAUAACGAUCGUCGUGGGCUGGAGCGUAGGGCGAGCGGUGAAUCGCUUACAAUCCUCUGACCCAAGCCUCAGUUACUAGUCGGUCGUGAGGCCAACGAACACGGGGCCCAAGUCAAUCUUGAUCCUUGGACCCAAGCCUUAGUUACUAGUCGGUCGUGAGGCCGACGAAUGCAGGGCCUAGGUUAGGACCAUUUGAACUC
rnacentral:rRNA from 1 species